UACGGAGGGUGCGAGCGUUGUCCGGAAUCACUGGGCGUAAAGGGUGCGUAGGCGGGUCUUUAAGUCAGGGGUGAAAUCCUGGAGCUCAACUCCAGAACUGCCUUUGAUACUGAGGAUCUUGAGUUCGGGAGAGGUGAGUGGAACUGCGAGUGUAGAGGUGAAAUUCGUAGAUAUUCGCAAGAACACCAGUGGCGAAGGCGGCUCACUGGCCCGAUACUGACGCUGAGGCACGAAAGCGUGGGGAGCAAACAGG
rnacentral:rRNA from 1 species